GACGAACCGUGCGAACGUUAUUCGGAAUCACUGGGCGUAAAGCGCACGUAGGCGGAUUGCUAAGUCAGGGGGUGAAAUCCUGGAGCUCAACUCCAGAACUGCCUUUGAUACUGGCGACCUUGAGUCCGGGAGAGGUGAGUGGAACUGCGAGUGUAGAGGUGAAAUUCGUAGAUAUUCGCAAGAACACCAGUGGCGAAGGCGACUACCUGGCCUGUUCUUGACGCUGAGGCGCGAAAGCUAGGGGAGCAAACGGGG
rnacentral:rRNA from 1 species